rnacentral:rRNA from 1 species
GACGAACGCUGGCGGCGUGCUUAACACAUGCAAGUCGAACGCUGAAGCUCAGCUUUUGUUGGGUGGAUGAGUGGCGAACGGGUGAGUAACACGUGAGUAACCUGCCCCCUUCUUUGGGAUAACGCCCGGAAACGGGUGCUAAUACUGGAUAUUCACUGGUCUUCGCAUGGGGGUUGGUGGAAAGGGGUUUUCUGGUGGGGGAUGGGCUCGCGGCCUAUCAGCUUGUUGGUGGGGUGAUGGCCUACCAAGGCUUUGACGGGUAGCCGGCCUGAGAGGGUGAACGGUCACAUUGGGACUGAGAUACGGCCCAGACUCCGACGGGGGGCAGCAGUGGGGACUAUUGCACAAUGGGCGCAAGCCUGAUGCAGCGACGCCGCGUGAGGGAUGGAGGCCUUCGGGUUGUGAACCUCUUUCGGUCAUGGUCAAGCCGAAACAAUGGUUGUGGUGAGGGUAGUGGGUAAAGAAGCGCCGGCUAACUACGUG